AUGCUUCCUCCUCUAUUAAAACCCCAAAGAAUUUUAAUUUAAACUUAAUUAGAGUUUAAGUAAAACGUUACACAUUAAUUAUCCAGUCUCAAAGGACAUGCAAAAUAAUGUCCUUUCACAGGAAGUUGGUUCAGCACUGACUAACUGCCAACUGUCAGACUAAGGAAUUUUUAAAGGGACCUGCAUGCAGAAGUUUAAAAAGUGGAGGCACUGCAGAUAGAAGUCAACAACAGACAACUGAGAAAAGGCACCAAGGUAAUUGUUACGUCUUGGCUGGUGAACUCUUAAAUCAACAAAGGAGCCCGUCUCUCUGCUAAUCAGCCCAGGCGAGUCCCCCGCCUGACAGCGGAGCACAGAAGUGAAUCUACGCUGCGGGGUUUCUCUCUUGUUUUCCAAUUCAACGUUUGCAACACAAAGGGGAAUGCUGUCCUUACAAUUUUCUGGAAUGUAGGCACUCGGAGAAAGUUGAGCCUCAGGAGCUGGCACGAAGAGGUGAUGCGACCGGGUCUGAAGCAAUUAAAAUGAGCCCCCUUUCUCGGUAUUUAGCAGGUGGAGUAGCAGGGCCAAUCCGUCUCUGAACCUGAAGUCUCACAAAAUUGAGUAGUUUUCUUAACCGACUGGAUCCGGAGGCGCAGGUAAUUGUAAGCGCAAAGACGCCCAGAGCUCCAUCCUCUCCAUCACGUCCGUCCGAGGAGUAGAAGCAGACGGCAGUCUUCAAAAUUCUCGCUAAAAUCUCUCGAACUGAUCAACCACUUACUAGGAUUUGAAGAUUUUUUUCUAGCCCCAAAUCCACCUUCCCAUCCUCCCUCAGAGUCUACUUGUAGAUGCCACCAAUGAUUGCCCCUCCCCUUAAAAACAGCCCCUGCCCCACACAUCUCUCAGCUACUCUAAACAGCCCUGACAGUUUAGCCACUAGGUUAAUUCAUAGAAAGUAGCUAUAACUCUUGACAUCACCUCCGCAACCCACCCGAGGACUCCAGCCCAGGACACCUUGCUAGGAGGCUGAUUUUUGAGCGCUGAAUUCUGAGGCUAAGGGAAGGUUAUUUGAGGCGUCCUGAUAGAUUUCCGGGCUUCCAAUUCCCUCCCCCGCUUGGCUGGUAAUUUUCUGCUGCUCCUCCUUCUCCUCCUCCUCCUCCUCUUGACCUCCUCCAAGGUACCUUCGCCUCCCCUCCUCCACUCGUUCCCAGUAAACCUCCAGCAGGCGGUGGAAAUCAAUCCUUUGGCGCUAAAGUCAGAGCUGCCCGUUGGACAAAAUUGUAGUGGGGGACAGGGUGUCAUUUCUUUCAGAAGGAAUGUCAUUUGAUCAACUCGACUGAGUUAACUUGCUCCCGGUUUCCUGAGAGCUCGGGUGGGCCCGUUUUGCUAGAUUCAGUGCAGAUAUGUUAGCUUUCAGGCUACUCGUCCAAGACUUGAGAGAUAAAGGUUUCUCUCUUCUCCAGAUUCCCAACUACUCCCAUGAGAAUCCGAUACAUUUAAGGAAAGCUUUGCCAGAUGUAGGUUUCAGAGCGUCCUUGGGCCAGAACCUCCCAGUCAGCACAUUGCCUUCACUGGCUCCAACUUGGGCUCCACACAGAACUCCCAGCAAGUUAAAAAUUACCUGUUCCUAAUCACUGACAGUCCCAAAAACAAAAAAGAAACACUCUCCCCUUCCCUAAAAAAGGGGGGGAAGAAAAAGAUUUAACCUGACAUUACUAGCCACUUUUGUGCGAUCAUAGUAUUUCCAGAAGCACAAUUUUAAAUGAAGGGUACAAAUUUCUGUCCUCCACUGGUCGAACUCCUCCCUGCAAUGAAGAGCGAACCUCACAUUCUCAAGACCGAUCUGAGGUUUGUGGCUUCCCCGCCGCCGGGAGCGUGGAAUUCUAUCUCGGCUGGUAACCGAGCAGCAGACCGCACAGGAACGCUGCCUCCCGGGCUGCCUCUGCCAGUAAAGAAUAUCCGGAACGUCGGUGACGGAAACAGCCACCUGAACCCAGAAACACACUUCAGCUUGCAGAAGAAGAUACUUGCUAAUUCAUCCCCAGAUUUGUUUCAACUGGUUAAUAAAGCAAUUGACACUCAAGGAAACCACAUUUGCAGCAGGAGUCUUGGUCAAUAAAAUGAGAAUCACAACUGAAGGGUGGUGGUUGUUGUGGUGGUUAACAACUGCCUUUAUUAUUAUCAU